AUCAAAAUUUGCAAAGCAGUGUUUGCACAGGGCCUGGGGCCUAGUCAGUGCUCAAUACUUGGUAGCCAUUAUUAUGGCCAUUUUAAGUAUUAUUAUCAUUCUCCCUCUCUGCCAGAAGGGCUCCAGGAUGCUGGAAAUGGCUGCCCAGUUCCAAGCUGGGGCAACUGGGAGAGGAGGAGGCACUUCCCUACAUUCCCUUCACCUUCCCCAGGGGGCAGGGGUCUUCCCCUAGCUACUGACAGACAGUUCCUGUGUCUGCUGAGUCACAGCCAACUUCCUCUCGUACAAACAGGAAAGCAAAGCCGGCCAGCGGGUGUCCCCCCCCCCCACCCCCCAACACCACACACAGCUAAAGGCCAGCCCAGCUCUGAGGGGGAAGUGCCUCAGGUCCCGGGGGACAGGCUCCAAGGUUGGGGCUCCAGGCAAGAUGCCAAGAAGGGAGAGCAGCAGGGCAGCCGCAAAGCCUGGUUUGAGAGGAUGUUGCCUUGCUGCCCUGCAUCCCUGGGAGGAAACCUACACCAGGAGUUUGAAGACGGAGAAGCAGUUGAGGGCUCCUCUGCUGGGCUUCGGCCUCUUUGCUCCAAGUUAGAUGGCGGGGCUUCUGAAGGUUUGCCAGCUUGGAAGGCUGUGGAUAUCUGUGACUUGUGGAUGUCAGCUUCUGUUCCCCGUUAACCGGGUACCAGAGUCCAGCCACCCUGCUGGGUGUGGGAGAGGUGCCCUGGGGACUUAGGAUCCUAUGCUUUCCCUCCCCUUUUGACCAGACGGACGGGGAGGGGCCGGCGGCGGGGAUGCAAAGCCUGUCCCUCGCAGCACCCUCCUUCUCUCUCCGGUUCUACCCUUGUCCCAAGUUCCGUCUAGUCUCUGCCUCUUUGUCCCGCUCUUUAAGGCUGACUCGGCCUCCAACCCUGUUCCGGCUCUCCCCGCUCCCCUUUCUGGGCCCCUAAAGGGGCUGAGCUGGUUAGGCUGCGAGAUAAGCACAGCGGUUGGGUAAGGAGCCCAAACCUUUUGAAGACCGCCGCUUGCACAAGGAGUGGCCAGGGCCUCCGCGGAGGGAACCGACGAGCGGGACGGGGCGGGGCUCCGUCGGGGGAGGGCUGAGGGGAGGCGGGGGCGGGGCGGCGCGGCACCGGGGCCCGGGCGGGGCGGGCGGGGGGG
rnacentral:lncRNA from 1 species